rnacentral:rRNA from 1 species
GAUGAACGCUGGCGGCGUGCCUAAUACAUGCAAGUCGAGCGAACGGACGAGAAGCUUGCUUCUCUGAUGUUAGCGGCGGACGGGUGAGUAACACGUGGAUAACCUACUUAUAAGACUGGGAUAACUUCGGGAAACCGGAGCUAAUACCGGAUGAUAUUUUGAACCGCAUGGUUCAAAAGUGAAAGACGGUCUUGCUGUCACUUAUAGAUGGAUCCGCGCUGCAUUAGCUAGUUGGUAAGGUAACGGCUUACCAAGGCAACGAUGCAUAGCCGACCUGAGAGGGUGAUCCGCCACACUGGAACUGAGACACGAUCCAGACUCCUACGGGAGGCAGCAGUAGGGAAUCUUCCGCGAUGGACCAAAGCCUGACGGAGCAACGCCGCGUGAGUGAUGAAGGUCUUCGGAUCGGAAAACUCUGUUAUUAGUGAAGAACAUAUGUGUAAGUAACUGUGCACAUCUUGACGGUACCUAAUCAGAAAGCCACGGCUAACUACGUG